AUUGAACGCUGGCGGCAGGCCUAACACAUGCAAGUCGAGCGGAGCGGCGGACGGGUGAGUAAUGCCUAGGAAUCUGCCUGGUCGUGGGGGAUAAUGUCCGGUAACGGGCGCUAAUACCGCAUACUAUCAGAUGAGCCUAGGUCGGAGUUGCUAGUUGGUGGGGUAAUGGCCGACCAAGGCGACGAGCCGUAACUGGUCUGAGAGGCUGAUCAGUCACACUGGAACUGAGACACGGUCCAAAGUCCUACGGGAGGAAGCAGGGGGGAAUAUUGGACAAUGGGCGAAAGCCUGAUCCAGCCAUGCCGCGUGUGUGAAGAAGGGCUUCGGGUUGUAAAGCUCUAUAAGUUGGGAGGCGUUACCAACAGAAGAAGCACCGGCUAACUACGUGCCAGCAGCCGCGGUAAUUC
rnacentral:rRNA from 1 species